rnacentral:rRNA from 1 species
UACGUAGGGGGCAAGCGUUGUCCGGAUUUAUUGGGCGUAAAGAGCGUGUAGGCGGCCAGACAGGUCUGCUGUGAAAACUCGAGGCUCAACCUCGAGACGCCGGUGGAAACCGUCUGGCUAGAGUCCGGAAGAGGAGAGUGGAAUUCCUGGUGUAGCGGUGAAAUGCGCAGAUAUCAGGAGGAACACCGAUUGCGAAGGCAGCUCGCUGGGACGUUACUGACGCUGAGACGCGAAAGCGUGGGGAGCAAACAGG